AGAAAGUGACGCAAGAACUGCUAACUCAUGCCCCCGCGCUUAAAAUUCGCGGCUUUCUU
rnacentral:tRNA from 1 species